rnacentral:rRNA from 1 species
CAUCCGCCACGGGAAUACGGAGGGAGCUAGCGUUGUUCGGAAUUACUGGGCGUAAAGCGCGCGUAGGCGGUUACUCAAGUCAGAGGUGAAAGCCCGGGGCUCAACCCCGGAACUGCCUUUGAAACUAGGUGACUAGAAUCUUGGAGAGGUCAGUGGAAUUCCGAGUGUAGAGGUGAAAUUCGUAGAUAUUCGGAAGAACACCAGUGGCGAAGGCGACUGACUGGACAAGUAUUGACGCUGAGGUGCGAAAGCGUGGGGAGCAAACAGGAUUAGAUACCCCUGUAGUCCCUGUCUCUUAUAC